GGGGGAAUAUUGCACAAUGGGGGAAACCCUGAUGCAGCGACGCCGCGUGAACGAAGAAGGUAUUCGUAUCGUAAAGUUCUGUCCUAUGGGAAGAUAAUGACAGUACCAUAGAAGAAAGCUCCGGCUAAAUACGUGCCAGCAGCCGCGGUAAUACGUAUGGAGCGAGCGUUGACCGGAAUUAUUGGGCGUAAAGGGUACGCAGGCGGUUUAAUAAGUCGAAUGUUAAAGAUCGGGGCUCAACCCCGCAAAGCAUUGGAAACUGAUAAACUUGAGUAGUGGAGAGGAAAGUGGAAUUCCUAGUGUAGUGGUGAAAUACGUAGAUAUUAGGAGGAAUACCAGUAGCGAAGGCGACUUUCUGGACACAAACUGACGCUGAGGUACGAAAGCGUGGGGAGCAAACAGG
rnacentral:rRNA from 1 species